UUAAAAACUGUGAAUGAGAGAGUAGAUAUUAGAAGAAUUUUAAGGGAGAGAAGGUCAUAGACUGCAAGCCUUCUUAAAUAAUAUAAUAUUGAAGUUCACUCAGGAGUUCUAGCUGUGAAAUUUUUAGUAGUAGCUAGCGGCAAAAAAAGUCGUUAAUUAAAUUAAGUUGGGUUGCUUUAGUGAUAAAGCUCCAAUUAGGGUGGUAACGCGGAUUUUUCGUCCCUUUU
rnacentral:ncRNA from 1 species